GUGGGGAAUUUUGGACAAUGGGCGCAAGCCUGAUCCAGCAAUGCCGCGUGCAGGAAGAAGGCCUUCGGGUUGUAAACUGCUUUUGUACGGAACGAAACGGCUCUGGUUAAUACCCGGGGCUAAUGACGGUACCGUAAGAAUAAGCACCGGCUAACUACGUGCCAGCAGCCGCGGUAAUACGUAGGGUGCAAGCGUUAAUCGGAAUUACUGGGCGUAAAGCGUGCGCAGGCGGUUUUGUAAGACAGGCGUGAAAUCCCCGGGCUCAACCUGGGAAUGGCGCUUGUGACUGCAAAGCUGGAGUGCGGCAGAGGGGGAUGGAAUUCCGCGUGUAGCAGUGAAAUGCGUAGAUAUGCGGAGGAACACCGAUGGCGAAGGCAAUCCCCUGGGCCUGCACUGACGCUCAUGCACGAAAGCGUGGGGAGCAAACAGGAUUAGAAACCCCAGUAGUCC
rnacentral:rRNA from 1 species